rnacentral:rRNA from 1 species
UACGUAGGGUCCAAGCGUUAUCCGGAAUCACUGGGCGUAAAGCGUUCGUAGGCGGUUUUUCAAGUUGGGUGUGAAAUCCUAUGGCUCAACCAUAUGGACUGUGCCCAAAACUGAAAGACUAGAGCAUAGUAGAGGCAAGUGGAACUUGCGGUGUAGGAGUGACAUCCGUAGAUAUCGCAAAGAACACCAAUGGCGAAGGCAGCUUGCUGGGCUAUUGCUGACGCUCAGGAACGAAAGCGUGGGGAGCGAACGGG